rnacentral:lncRNA from 1 species
CGGCCCCUCACAAAAAAAAGCGAGCCGCAGACUUUCACGGAUCUUUGGGCAGAUCGGACGGUUAGCAUCAACUGCGAAUUAGCUAAGCUUGCUCGGCUUCGUCUUCCACCACUGCUCGCCGCCGCCGACGACGAGGUACGCAAACCCUAGCCGCCGUCGAGCUCCGCGAGGCGAUGGCGAUGGCGAUGGCGAUCAGCGCACCACCCCUCCCUACGCUGCGUGUUCCUGGGAUGGCGACUCGACAUCUGGUCGUCUUCCGCCGCCUGGUACGUGCAUCUCCGUUCCCCCCCUUCCGCACGAUGGCGAUCGAUUCUCGAACGCCACUAGAUUCCGAGCGUUUCACCGCCUCUGCAGCCACCCCGCACGCUCCUGGUCGCCGCGCCCGCGCCUACUCCGCGCCGUCUGGCCCCAUCUCGUCCGCCACGGGCUGGUGACAUGAAGGAGACCUCCCAAGACGAGCCCCUGGCCUACAUCCUACACCUCCCCGCGCGUGUCCUCUCGGCGGCGUCUUCCGCGUAGGAGAACUACUCACGCCCGUUCCACUUCAUGUGCGUCGUCAUACUUGCAGCCGUCAAGUCGCCCAAGUUCCCCGGAGAAGUGGCCUCCGUGGCGAAGAAACUCAAGCUGUCGGACGACGUGGUGCGCCAGGUCGUUUUCAUCGCGACGUGCGUCAAGUUCCUCUACGACCUGUGCAAGAGCGGCAAGCCUGUUGACCGACUGGUGUCUUACUUCCUCAAGUCACCCAAGAAGAUUCCGCCGCCGCCGUCGCCAUCUGACGAUUAGUAUGUUAACAUAUAUCUUACAAUGUUGCUUUGUCUCGAGAUGUUCUGGUUUGGAUACAGAUUGGGAAAGGUAGAUGGGAAUACAGAGGAUGGUUGGGGGGUGUAGAAUAGUUGCUUCAGUGCUGGCUUGCUCUGCUUCAGGAACUAGGUCCCUGACAUCCCCCUUUUCAUCAAGUCCAGUUUGUCCCAAGCUGGAGCAGCCGGGAACCGAACCUUUAGAGCAUGCUCAUCCAGCCUGGCCCGCUACCUUGCUGCAUCAGUCCACUGUGUGAGCAGGCACUGCUUCCUGCAUGGAGACUUCUGGCAUUUCAGUUAGUACAAUGGUGUUAGCCUUCAGAGCCACCUUAACACAGGAUGCACUGUGAUUUAGGAGGUAACUCGAGCUCAUAAGCCAUUGCACCAAGGCACCGUUGGGUUUUAGCACUUGAUAUGGGCCAUAGUAGCGAAGCGACGGCUUUUGGUUGGCUCUAGUGGCAACAGACUGAUGUAGAUAGAUAGGGCUGUAGCUUGAGAUAUACCCAGUCUCUCACUUGGAACUGUGUAUCAUGUUAACUCUUGUGAGUUCAAACUUCAUGUGCAUGUGUAGUAACUCUGUUCUCGAUCAAACCAAUAUAUAUUAUUUUUUUGUCAUGCUUAUGUGCAUAUAAGCUUGGUUGGAUUGUGAGAUCGGUUACUUUGGUUGCCUAGCAAAACAUGUGCCUGUUGGUUUAAUAUCAAAUGGUAGCUUCAGUGUUUGGUGACUUCUUCGGCAGAAACUUGACGAUACUGACAUCGUGAGGUGAGGGGCUUUCACUGCUUCAGUCGCUGAGCAACAAUAACACCUGCAGAUUUCCAGGUUGCUGCCUUUCUCAGUAGGUUGAGUUCCCAAACAUAGAAAAUGAUUUUAUCCCUGCAAAUACCAAUCACAUAAUUCAGACAUUUCCACUGCCAGAUAUAAUACUUAAGAGCUGUCUGCUGUCUUCUUCAGUAUCUUUUCACCUACAUAAUGCAGUCAUUUCUUAGUGCACUACACAGAAUUUAUCCAUGUGUUUUCAGAAGUUAUAGUCUUACUGCAAUGUCUUUGAGUACAAGAAGGAAAGGUCUGUAGCAUUCAGUUCGAGCCCCUUGAAAACAUGUUUUGGCUGUUGAAAUUUGUCGUGCUUGUAUUAGUUGAGUGUACCCCCAGUCCCACGAACCUGAAAUAUAAAUAAAUCCUGUUAUUUUCGAAACUUGUGUAAUUUUUAUGCCUUUGUCAAAUGCUUUCAAGCUGUUGUCUCUCAUAUGUGUCCUUCAUUAUCUGCCAUUUAUUCUUAGUAUAUGCCCUUCACUUAUCUUUUUGUAUCUUUUGGUUGGUUCUUUGUACCCGCCUUCAUUUAUCUGCCAUUUUUUUACAAUGGAUACUCCUCCACCGUAAUGUGUUCUGUUUUGAGUUCAUUUCAUAUCUUUAUUCUUCAGUCUUUUUCAUUGAUCAUUUUAGUAUUCUUUGGUCUUCAUUUUGUUAUUAUCUUUUUCUUUUCAUUUCCUUCAGUCUUUGGUUUGUUCUUCAGUUACUUUAUUCAGCUUAUAAAUUUUAUUUCUUCAAACAUUAGAGCUCUGUGUGCUUCUCAUUCUAGAGAUGCUUGCUAUGAAAUCUGGAGUGGAAGCUCCUCAGUUUGAAAAGAAUGUCACUACACUAGCUAGUAUGGCUCCUGCAGGGAGAUCAUUUAAGUUUUUCUUUCAUCUGUUAGUCUAUCAUAAGCUCCCUGUGUGCUUCUCAUUCUAGAGAUGUUUGCUAUGGAAUAGGUCCAUUUUCUGUAUGGCACUGUAUCAUUUCUUUUAAAUGGUUAUAAUUUUAAAAAUAGAGGAAAUCUAUUGUUUUGCGACGUGUCUUAUAAUGCAUAUAUUCUGUUAAUGGUGGCAUUGACACAACGCAUGUAUAACAUAUGAUACUAGUCCUGCUAUAAAUACUGUGAUUUUCUUGGUUGGGGAGAACUGAGAUUCUGUCUUAGGUGAAACAAGGUGUUGGCAAGAUUUUGCUUCUUUCACUGGAACAUGUUUCUUGAUGAUCUAGUAAACUGAACCAACACUUUGAGUUAUCCUUUGCAAGUUUUUUCGCUUGUGGAGGCUAAUUUGGCAUUUUUGUAAGAUGGUGGACCAAGGGUUGGGGUUUUCAUAGUUUCAUCAUUUUGUUAUGUACUAGAGAAUUUGUGUGAUUCAGUCUUAUGUUUAUAAGGGGUUCUAGAGGUUUUGUAGUAAAACAAGUCUCCAAUUAAUCAGUCAAGUUGCUUGCAUAAAGCAUAUUAUAUCUUAGUUAGAACAUACUUUCUAAUGUGCACUGAUGUUUUCGAUUGUGCUUGCAAAUGUUUGUUUCCCACAAAAUCCCCAAAAAGUUGCAUCAGCCCUGAAUAUUACUGAGUUGGGUGAUAUCGCACUGAUGUUUGGAGCCAGGGUGUGUUAUGAACUCAACUUUGCUAUGGACAAUGGCCUUGAGAUAUUGGGAUGUCCUUAUGCAUGAAGUAUUUGGAUGCAUGAAGUAUCUUGUGACCAUGAGGUCAUGGGUUCAAGUCCUGGAAACAGCCUCUUACAGAAAUGUAGGGAAAGGCUGCGUACUAUAGACCCAAAGUGGUCGGACCCUUCCCUGGACCCUGCGCAAGCGGGAGCUACAUGCACCAGGUUGCCUUUUUUUUUUUUUAUCUUUUGAUUUCAUGUAGCUUAUUUUACUAUCAUUUUCAUCUUAUCUAUGUAACUGAGCCUAAGCUUAAGAUACUGAACAAUCUGUUGUGGUAGUUUAUUUUGUGCGAAUUGCAUUGAGAAAAUAUAUUCAUGUGUGAAAUGCUAGGUACCAAGAAGUGUUGCCUGUGUUCUGUAGAAGUGUUUUCUGCAUUGGACAGCAUGUGUUAUAAAUGAGACAAGGCACAAAAACAAGAAGAGGGCGCGGUUGUACACAAAACCAGGCCUUUACACAGACCCGUUAGGAUCCGUGGAGCAUUAGCAUAUUCGCCAGCACGGCGAAGAGAAAGGAUAGAGAAACCUAUGAUUAUUACUAGGACACGUGUCUUUGGUUGUAUGGCUCAAAAUUUUGAUUGUUGCCCAAUUGAAAAGCGGCCAAAUGUUAAUUACAGUCCCUAAAAUUAUUAUGCUUUUCUGUGAGAAGGAUUGAUAUCUUACCUUUUCUAGUUUGUGUUUGCAGAUCGACGAUCAGGAGAAAUGUUUCAACAAAGAAUAUCUUGGGCUCCAUUACCUGAUGAGAUCUUGUGUCAUGUUUUACAACUUCCAAGUUCUUAUGAGCGACUGAAUUUUGAUCUGGUGAAACUUUGUGCAUUCGUCUUGGUUAACUUUCGCGAGCUAAGCUGCUACGUAACGCUGCAUACCAAUAGAACACUCCUACACUCACAAUAAGUUGUUUUAGCUCACACAUCACCAAUUGCUAGUACUAGUUCGUUCCUGAGUUGAUUUAGAUAUAGAAAGUUCGGCAUGGUGCACUUUGAAAUCUAUGUGUAUAUUGCAACUUUGGUCGUGGUGCACUUUGGAAUCUCAUGUGUUUGAGUGGUUAUGUCUGCAAAGCCACAUGCACCAUCUUUUUAAUGAAUGAAAGUCAUUUGUUGGAUGCCCGGUCAUACACUUAUUUGCGUAGUGCCUUGUAUCGAAACUUUGGUCAUGGUGCACUUUGAAAUCUCAUGUGUGUGUUUGAGUGGUUGUCUGCAGGAGAAAGUAUCUCCUGGAAACCACUCACUCA